rnacentral:rRNA from 1 species
AAACUUCGGUCGAUUUAAUUUAAUUCUAGUGGCGGACGGGUGAGUAACGCGUGGGUAACCUGCCUUAUACAGGGGGAUAACAGUCAGAAAUGGCUGCUAAUACCGCAUAAGCGCACAGAGCUGCAUGGCUCAGUGUGAAAAACUCCGGUGGUAUAAGAUGGACCCGCGUUGGAUUAGCUAGUUGGUGGGGUAACGGCCCACCAAGGCGACGAUCCAUAGCCGGCCUGAGAGGGUGAACGGCCACAUUGGGACUGAGACACGGCCCAGACUCCUACGGGAGGCAGCAGUGGGGAAUAUUGCACAAUGGGGGAAACCCUGAUGCAGCGACGCCGCGUGAAGGAAGAAGUAUCUCGGUAUGUAAACUUCUAUCAGCAGGGAAGAUAGUGACGGUACCUGACUAAGAAGCCCCGGCUAACUACGUGCCAGCAGCCGCGGUAAUACGUAGGGGGCAAGCGUUAUCCGGAUUUACUGGGUGUAAAGGGAGCGUAGACGGUGUGGCAAGUCUGAUGUGAAAGGCAUGGGCUCAACCUGUGGACUGCAUUGGAAACUGUCAUACUUGAGUGCCGGAGGGGUAAGCGGAAUUCCUAGUGUAGCGGUGAAAUGCGUAGAUAUUAGG